rnacentral:rRNA from 1 species
GAAGACGCUGGCGCGUGCCUAACACAUGCAAGUCGAGCGAGAAAGUCCCUUCGGGGGCGAGUAAAGCGGCGGACGGGUGAGUAAUACAUGGAUAAUCUUCCCUCGAGCCUGGGAUAACCCUGCGAAAGUGGGGCUAAUACCGGAUAAGACCACAUGACACAUGUCACGGGGGUAGAAGGUGGCUUGUAUUUAUAUGAGCUAUCACUUGAGGAUGAGUCCAUGGCCUAUCAGCUAGUUGGUGAGGUAAGAGCUUACCAAGGCUAUGACGGGUAGCUGGUCUGAGAGGACGACUAGCCACACUGGGACUGAGACACGGCCCAGACUCCUACGGGAGGCAGCAGUGGGGAAUAUUGGGCAAUGGGCGAAAGCCUGACCCAGCGACGCCGCGUGGGUGAUGAAGGCCUUCGGGUUGUAAAACCCUUUCGUGCGGAAAGAAUAGUCCUGUAGCGAAUAACUACGGGAUUUGACGGUACCGCAGGAAGAAGCACCGGCUAACUCCGUG